AGAGUUUGAUCAUGGCUCAGAACGAACGCUGGCGGCAGGCCUAACACAUGCAAGUCGAACGCUCCGCAAGGGGAGUGGCAGACGGGUGAGUAACACGUGGGAACCUACCUCGAGGUGCGGAACAACCAAGGGAAACUUUGGCUAAUACCGCAUGUGCCCUUAGGGGGAAAGAUUUAUCGCCUUGGGAUGGGCCCGCGUCGGAUUAGCUAGUUGGUGUGGUAAUGGCGCACCAAGGCGACGAUCCGUAGCUGGUCUGAGAGGAUGAUCAGCCACACUGGGACUGAGACACGGCCCAGACUCCUACGGGAGGCAGCAGUGGGGAAUAUUGGACAAUGGGCGCAAGCCUGAUCCAGCCAUGCCGCGUGUGUGAUGAAGGCCUUAGGGUUGUAAAGCACUUUCGCCGAUGAAGAUAAUGACUGUAGUCAGAGAAGAAGCCCCGGCUAACUUCGUG
rnacentral:rRNA from 1 species